AAAAAAAAAAUAAAAAAAAAUACAGAGCACUUGAGGAAGAAGGAUUAUACUUGUAAUUACGUACAGUAUACAUUUGGCUAGUUUGCAGCUUCAUGUAUUCAAAUAUUAAAUAGGUUUGGUAAGUCCAUCCCGAUCAAAAUUGAAAUAUUUUGUUUGAUAUGAGUUGUUUGAUGAAAGAAUCAACCUUGUUCUUUUGUAACACCAAUGAAAUUUCAUGACAUCUUUCUUUAUAGUCAAUAUUAGAGGAUAGUUUAAU
rnacentral:misc_RNA from 1 species